ACAGGUGCUGCAUGGCUGUCGUCAGCUCGUGUCGUGAGAUGUGGGUUAAGUCCCGCAACGAGCGCAACCUUGUCAUUAGUUGCUACAUUCCAGUUGGGCACUCUAAUGAGACUGCCGGUGACAAGCCGGAGGAAGUGGGGAUGACGUCAAGUCCUCAUGGCCCUUAUAGGUGGGGCUACACACGUCAUACAAUGGCUGGUACAAAGGGUUGCCAACCCGCGAGGGGGAGCCAAUCCCAUAAAGCCAGUCGUAGUCCGGAUCGUAGUCUGCAACUCGACUACGUGAAGUCGGAAUCGCUAGUAAUCGUGGAUCAGAAUGUCACGGUGAAUACGUUCCCGGGUCUU
rnacentral:rRNA from 1 species